rnacentral:lncRNA from 1 species
AGCUCGGUGGUGGUGUAGUGAAGUCCUGGGACACCGUUGCUUGCACCAGUUUCUUGGACUCCACAAGUGUGUAGAGAGAGGAGCAAGGAAUGUGAUCCGUCCCAGCAGCCCGGGGGAGCCAGACCAUAUCUGGGUUAAAGGCCUCCUGGAGUCAAGAACAAGCAGGUGUCCCACCGUGCCAGAGACCGCUGCCUAAACUGCUUCCAGCUUCCCCCCCUUUCUGCAAUACGUCUGUGAUCAGCCACGGGAUAGAGGCGCCAGCAGCCUGCCUCUGACCGACAUCAGGUUAGCUCGCUCCCACUCGGGUGCUGCGCCCAGGAUAUAAAUCCAGGCUCGAGCCCCUGCUGUGUUCCUCUCCC